CAGCCGCCACGGGAAUACGAAGGGGGCUAGCGUUGUUCGGAAUUACUGGGCGUAAAGCGCAUGCAGGCGGCUCGAUAAAUUAGAAGUGAAAGCCUUGGGCUUAACCUGAGAAUUGCUUUUAAGACUGUCGAGCUAGAAUCCAGAAGAGGGUAGCGGAAUUCCGAGUGUAGAGGUGAAAUUCGUAGAUAUUCGGAAGAACACCAGUGGCGAAGGCGGCCCGCUGGACAUGUAUUGACGCUGAGGUGCGAAAGCGUGGGGAGCAAACAGGAUUAGAUACCCCCGUAGUCCCUGUCUCUUAUAC
rnacentral:rRNA from 1 species